rnacentral:rRNA from 1 species
AACGAACGCUGGCGGCAGGCUUAACACAUGCAAGUCGAGCGCCCCGCAAGGGGAGCGGCAGACGGGUGAGUAACGCGUGGGAAUCUACCGUGCCCUACGGAAUAACGCAUGGAAACGUGUGCUAAUACCGUAUACGCCCUACGGGGGAAAGAUUUAUCGGGGUAUGAUGAGCCCGCGUUGGAUUAGCCAGUCGGUGGGGUAAAGGCCUACCAAGGCGACGAUCCAUAGCUGGUCUGAGAGGAUGAUCAGCCACAUUGGGACUGAGACACGGCCCAAACUCCUACGGGAGGCAGCAGUGGGGAAUAUUGGACAAUGGGCGCAAGCCUGAUCCAGCCAUGCCGCGUGAGUGAUGAAGGUCUUAGGAUUGUAAAGCUCUUUCACCGGUGAAGAUAAUGACGGUAACCGGAGAAGAAGCCCCGGCUAACUUCGUGCCAGCCGCCGCCGUAA